CUUGUUGGUGGGGUAAUGGCUCACCAAGGCGACGACGGGUAGCCGGCCUGAGAGGGUGACCGGCCACACUGGGACUGAGACACGGCCCAGACUCCUACGGGAGGCAGCAGUGGGGAAUAUUGCACAAUGGGCGGAAGCCUGAUGCAGCGACGCCGCGUGAGGGAUGACGGCCUUCGGGUUGUAAACCUCUUUCAGUAGGGAAGAAGCGAGAGUGACGGUACCUGCAGAAGAAGCGCCGGCUAACUACGUGCCAGCAGCCGCGGUAAUACGUAGGGCGCAAGCGUUGUCCGGAAUUAUUGGGCGUAAAGAGCUCGUAGGCGGUUUGUCGCGUCUGCUGUGAAAGCCCGGGGCUCAACCCCGGGUCUGCAGUGGGUACGGGCAGACUAGAGUGCAGUAGGGGAGACUGGAAUUCCUGGUGUAGCGGUGAAAUGCGCAGAUAUCAGGAGGAACACCGAUGGCGAAGGCAGGUCUCUGGGCUGUUACUGACGCUGAGGAGCGAAAGCAUGGGGAGCGAACAGGAUUAGAUACCCUGGUAGUCCAUGCCGUAAACGUUGGGCACUAGGUGUGGGGGACAUUCCACGUUUUCCGCGCCGUAGCUAACGCAUUAAGUGCCCCGCCUGGGGAGUACGGCCGCAAGGCUAAAACUCAAAGGAAUUGACGGGGGCCCGCACAAGCGGCGGAGCAUGCGGAUUAAUUCGAUGCAACGCGAAGAACCUUACCAAGGCUUGACAUUCACCGGACCGCCCCAGAGAUGGGGUUUCCCUUCGGGGCUGGUGGACAGGUGGUGCAUGGUUGUCGUCAGCUCGUGUCGUGAGAUGUUGGGUUAAGUCCCGCAACGAGCGCAACCCUCGUUCUAUGUUGCCAGCACGUGAUGGUGGGGACUCAUAGGAGACUGCCGGGGUCAACUCGGAGGAAGGUGGGGAUGACGUCAAAUCAUCAUGCCCCUUAUGUCUUGGGCUUCACGCAUGCUACAAUGGCCGGUACAAAGGGUUGCGAUACUGUGAGGUGGAGCUAAUCCCAAAAAGCCGGUCUCAGUUCGGAUUGAGGUCUGCAACUCGACCUCAUGAAGUCGGAGUCGCUAGUAAUCGCAGAUCAGCAACGCUGCGGUGAAUACGUUCCCGGGCCUUGUACACACCGCCCGUCAA
rnacentral:rRNA from 1 species